rnacentral:rRNA from 1 species
CGGACGGGUGAGUAGCGCGUGGGUAACCUUCCUUGUACUGGGGGACAACAGUUAGAAAUGACUGCUAAUACCGCAUAAGCGCACAGUAUCGCAUGAUACAGUGUGAAAAACUCCGGUGGUACAAGAUGGACCCGCGUCUGAUUAGCUAGUUGGUAAGGUAACGGCUUACCAAGGCGACGAUCAGUAGCCGACCUGAGAGGGUGACCGGCCACAUUGGGACUGAGACACGGCCCAA